rnacentral:rRNA from 1 species
UACGUAGGGUGCAAGCGUUGUCCGGAAUUAUUGGGCGUAAAGGGCGCGUAGGCGGUUGGGUAAGUCUUUUGUGAAAUCUUCGGGCUCAACUCGGAGUCUGCACGAGAAACUAUCUGGCUUGAGUGUGGGAGAGGUGAGUGGAAUUCCUGGUGUAGCGGUGAAAUGCGUAGAUAUCAGGAUGAACACCUGUGGCGAAAGCGGCUCACUGGACCACAACUGACGCUGAGGCGCGAAAGCUAGGGGAGCAAACAGG